UACGUAGGGUGCAAGCGUUGUCCGGAUUUAUUGGGCGUAAAGAGCGUGUAGGCGGCCAGGUAGGUCUGGUGUGAAAACUCGAGGCUUAACCUCGAGAUGUCAUCGGAAACCAUUUGGCUAGAGUCCGGAAGAGGAGAGUGGAAUUCCUGGUGUAGCGGUGAAAUGCGCAGAUAUCAGGAAGAACACCUAUGGCGAAGGCAGCUCUCUGGGACGGUACUGACGCUGAGACGCGAAAGCGUGGGGAGCGAACAGG
rnacentral:rRNA from 1 species